AAUACCCUGCUAUAGUCUCCGAGGAAUUCUCCUCGUAAAAGAAUUUCGUUAGACACGGUGGAUUUCAGUGUAGAAUUCCUUACAUUGCAUUCUGUUGUACCUCUACUCAUACACGUCAUAAUAUAAUAAUACGAUCAAACUCUUAUGGUGCCGUCCGAAGACUGCAACCCAAUCUAAUUUACUUAUUUAAUUCUACCAAACCCACACGGCGACACAAUUGAAUUUUUAAAUAAAUAAUAAUAUCAAUAAUGAUAAUAAAAGCGGUGUCUCGUUACAUCUUCCACAGAGUUAUUUUCUUUUUACAAUUAAAUUCGUUUUUACAUCCCGAGUGUAACGACUAAGAAAUGUUUUUUUCCUCGGAAUAUACUUGAGUUUAAUAAAAAUGCACUAAAUUGAUUACAUCUUAGGCUUUAAUUAUACAACUUUAUU